AGUGAACGCUGGCGGUAGGCCUAACACAUGCAAGUCGAACGGCAGCACAGUAAGAGCUUGCUCUUACGGGUGGCGAGUGGCGGACGGGUGAGGAAUACAUCGGAAUCUACUUUUUCGUGGGGGAUAACGUAGGGAAACUUACGCUAAUACCGCAUACGACCUACGGGUGAAAGCAGGGGAUCUUCGGACCUUGCGCGAUUGAAUGAGCCGAUGUCGGAUUAGCUAGUUGGCGGGGUAAAGGCCCACCAAGGCGACGAUCCGUAGCUGGUCUGAGAGGAUGAUCAGCCACACUGGAACUGAGACACGGUCCAGACUCCUACGGGAGGCAGCAGUGGGGAAUAUUGGACAAUGGGCGCAAGCCUGAUCCAGCCAUACCGCGUGGGUGAAGAAGGCCUUCGGGUUGUAAAGCCCUUUUGUUGGGAAAGAAAACAGCAGGUUAAUACCCCGCUGUUCUGACGGUACCCAAAGAAUAAGCACCGGCUAACUUCGUG
rnacentral:rRNA from 1 species